rnacentral:rRNA from 1 species
UACAGAGGGUGCGAGCGUUAAUCGGAAUUACUGGGCGUAAAGCGUGCGUAGGCGGUUUGUUAAGUCUGUCGUGAAAGCCCCGGGCUCAACCUGGGAAUGGCGAUGGAUACUGGCGAGCUAGAGUACGGUAGAGGAGAGUGGAAUUCCUGGUGUAGCGGUGGAAUGCGCAGAUAUCAGGAGGAACACCAAUAGCGAAGGCAGCUCGCUGGGACGGUAUUGACGCUGAGGCCCGAAAGCGUGGGGAGCAAACAGG